rnacentral:rRNA from 1 species
GUAGGCUGCAACUCGCCUACAUGAAGUCGGAAUUGCUAGUAAUCGCGGAUCAGCAUGCCGCGGUGAAUACGUUCCCGGGCCUUGUACACACCGCCCGUCACACCAUGGGAGUCGGUAACACCCGAAGCCUGUAGUCUAACCGCAAGGAGGACGCAGUCGAAGGUGGGAUUGAUGACUGGGGUGAAGUCGUAACAAGGUAGC